rnacentral:rRNA from 1 species
GACGAACGCUGGCGGCGUGCUUAACACAUGCAGGUCGAACGGAAAGGCCCUGCUUUUGUGGGGUGCUCGAGUGGCGAACGGGUGAGUAACACGUGAGUAACCUGCCCUUGACUUUGGGAUAACUUCAGGAAGCUGGGGCUAAUACCGGAUAGGAGCUCCUGCUGCAUGGUGGGGGUUGGAAAGUUUCGGCGGUUGGGGAUGGACUCGCGGCUUAUCAGCUUGUUGGUGGGGUAGUGGCUUACCAAGGCUUUGACGGGUAGCCGGCCUGAGAGGGUGACCGGCCACAUUGGGACUGAGAUACGGCCCAGACUCCUACGGGAGGCAGCAGUGGGGAAUAUUGCACAAUGGGCGGAAGCCUGAUGCAGCAACGCCGCGUGCGGGAUGACGGCCUUCGGGUUGUAAACCGCUUUCGCCUGUGACGAAGCGUGAGUGACGGUAAUGGGUAAAGAAGCACCGGCUAACUACGUG